rnacentral:tRNA from 1 species
GAGGGUAUAGCUCAGUGGUAGAGUGCCUGCUUAGCAUGCACAAGGUCCUGGGUUCAGUUCCCCAGUAUCUCCA